GACGAACGCUGGCGGCGUGCUUAACACAUGCAAGUCGAACGGGCCCGCCCCUGUUUUUGGGGGUGGGUUGAGUGGCGAACGGGUGAGUAUCACGUGAGUAACCUGCCCCCUGCUCCUGGAUAACUGCUUGAAAGGGCGGCUAAUACGGGGUGUGCCGGCUGGUCCGCAUGGGCCUGGUCGGGAUAGUUUCAUCUUCGGGUGUUUCGGUGGGGGAUGGGCUCGCGGCCUAUCAGCUUGUUGGUGGGGUGAUGGCCCACCAAGGCGGUGACGGGUAGCCGGCCUGAGAGGGUGGGCGGCCACACUGGGACUGAGACACGGCCCAGACGCCUGCGGGAGGCAGCAGUGGGGGGUAUUGCACAAUGGGCGGAAGCCUGAUGCAGCGACGUCGCGUGAGGGAUGGAGGCCUUCGGGUUGUGAAACUCUUUCUCCGGUGGUGAAGGCCCUGUCCGUUGCGGCGGGGUUGACGGUAGCCGGGUAUGAAGCGCCGGCUAACUACGUG
rnacentral:rRNA from 1 species